rnacentral:rRNA from 1 species
UACGUAGGGCGCAAGCGUUGUCCGGAAUUAUUGGGCGUAAAGAGCUCGUAGGCGGUUUGUCGCGUCUGCUGUGAAAACCCGAGGCUCAACCUCGGGCCUGCAGUGGGUACGGGCAGACUAGAGUGCGGUAGGGGAGAUUGGAAUUCCUGGUGUAGCGGUGGAAUACGCAGAUAUCAGGAGGAACACCAAUGGCGAAGGCAGAUCUCUGGGCCGUAACUGACGCUGAGGAGCGAAAGCAUGGGGAGCGAACAGG